CACACGACUCUCGGCAACGGAUAUCUCGGCUCUCGCAUCGAUGAAAAACGUAGCAAAAUGCKAUACCUGGUGUGAAUUGCARAAUCCCGCGAACCAUCGAGUUUUUGAACGCAAGUUGCGCCCGAGGCCUUCUGGCCGAGGGCACGCCUGCCUGGGCGUCACGC
rnacentral:rRNA from 1 species